rnacentral:rRNA from 1 species
GAUGAACGCUGGCGGCGUGCUUAAUACAUGCAAGUCGAGCGAACAGAUAAGGAGCUUGCUCCUUUGUCGUUAGCGGCGGACGGGUGAGUAACACGUGGGUAACCUACCUAUAAGACUGGGAUAACUUCGGGAAACCGGAGAUAAUACCGGAUAACAUUUGGAACCGCAUGGUUCUAAAGUGAAAGUUGGUUUUGCUAUCUCUUAUAGAUGGAUCCGCGCCGUUUUAGCUGGUUGGUAAGGUUACGGUUUUCCAGGGGGACGAUUCGUUGCCGACGUUAGGGAGUGAUCGGCCGCCUGAGAACUUAACCGCCUCCCCGGGGCCUAAGGGAGGGCGCAGUAGGGAAUCUUACGCAAUGGGGGGAAGCCUGACGGAGCGGGCGCGCGUGAGUGAUAGAGGGUUUGGGCUCGGAAUACUCUGUUAUUAGUGAAGAACAAAUGUGUAAGUAACUGUGCACUUCGUGACGGUACCUAAUCAGAAAGCCACGGCUAACUACGUG